CUUCGGUCGUUUUUCGUUUCAGCCGCUCAACGACAAUCCUAUGUUUGGUCCUUCUUCUUCAACUGGUGGUUGGCAUGGCCCUAGGUUGAAAAGUCAUCUUCAGGAAUUGAUGGGUGAAGAACAGGUUUUGAUCUUAACUCUGUGAAGCCUCAUGAGUACAAACUCAUUAUGAAUUGUGGUUGCAGGAGGUGAUAGUGCAGUAGGUUGGGUUUUGGGACUUCUCGGUACAGGC